GACGAACGCUGGCGGCGUGCCUAAUACAUGCAAGUCGAGCGGAUCUCUGAUGGAGCUUGCCCCUGAUGAGGUUAGCGGCGGACGGGUGAGUAACACGUAGGCAACCUGCCUGUAAGACCGGGAUAACAUUCGGAAACGAAUGCUAAGACCGGAUACGCAGUUUCCUCGCAUGAGGGACUUGGGAAUCACGGAGCAAUCUGUGGCUUACGGAUGGGCCUGCGGCGCAUUAGCUAGUUGGUGGGGUAACGGCUCACCAAGGCGACGAUGCGUAGCCGAGCUGAGAGGGUGAACGGCCACACUGGGACUGAGACACGGCCCAGACUCCUACGGGAGGCAGCAGUAGGGAAUCUUCCACAAUGGGCGCAAGCCUGAUGGAGCAACGCCGCGUGAGUGAGGAAGGCUUUCGGGUCGUAAAGCUCUGUUGCCAGGGAAGAACGCCUAGGAGAGUAACUGCUCCUGGGGUGACGGUACCUGAGAAGAAAGCCCCGGCUAACUACGUGCCAGCCGCCGCCGUAAAAC
rnacentral:rRNA from 1 species